CCUACGGGAGGCAGCAGUGGGGAAUUUUGGACAAUGGGCGAAAGCCUGAUCCAGCCAUGCCGCGUGCAGGAUGAAGGCCUUCGGGUUGUAAACUGCUUUUGUACGGAACGAAAAGGUCUUUUCUAAUAAAGAGGGCCCAUGACGGUACCGUAAGAAUAAGCACCGGCUAACUACGUGCCAGCAGCCGCGGUAAUACGUAGGGUGCAAGCGUUAAUCGGAAUUACUGGGCGUAAAGCGUGCGCAGGCGGUUAUAUAAGACAGUUGUGAAAUCCCCGGGCUCAACCUGGGAACUGCAUCUGUGACUGUAUAGCUAGAGUACGGUAGAGGGGGAUGGAAUUCCGCGUGUAGCAGUGAAAUGCGUAGAUAUGCGGAGGAACACCGAUGGCGAAGGCAAUCCCCUGGACCUGUACUGACGCUCAUGCACGAAAGCGUGGGGAGCAAACAGGAUUAGAUACCCUGGUAGUCCACGCCCUAAACGAUGUCAACUGGUUGUUGGGUCUUCACUGACUCAGUAACGAAGCUAACGCGUGAAGUUGACCGCCUGGGGAGUACGGCCGCAAGGUUGAAACUCAAAUGAAUUGACGG
rnacentral:rRNA from 1 species